CACGGUUGCAAGAGACUUUUUCCCGCAGGAGAUGCGCUGGCUGCGCAGAAAACAGCUGGAGCGGAGCAGUGGAGGAAUGUGCGGACUCCGGAACCGCCUCUGUGCAACGCGUUCUCUGAAGAUGAGUCCCUGGCAGGAACAAUGAAUGUACUGUCUGCUCCCCAACUGGAGAGACCAAGCCGCCUCAAGGACCACUGUGACUAUCUACUUGACUCUAUUGAUGCCCAGCUCAGCCAGCUACAGGUCGAGAGAUGGAAGUCAAAAAUCCUGGAUAAUAGCAAUGAUGAGGGAACUUCUCUUGGUGGGGCUGUUGGCGUUUCUUCUUCAGCAGCUGCCGCCAUGAUCCCCAAGAAGGUCCACUUGCCACCACAAAGGGACGCUGUGAGCAGUGAAGAGGAGGAGGAGGAAGAGGGGGCAGCAUUUGCUGAGCAGGGCUUCACCAGUGACUGCACCCAGAGAACCAGCGAUCUCAAGCAACUGACUGCAAGCAGGACAGCAUAUCCCAGCUGGAAAGGAACUGAACUGGAGAAUUACAAAAGUCAGGAGGACUUGGAACUGGAAGAGGAAAAGUUGCUGCAGAAGAAGGCCCUAAUCCAUGAAGAAGAGCUGUCCCUGCAGCGCAUGCUACGACAGAAAGAGUUUGUGGCUCUGGAACUGCAGACCUUCCAGGAGGCCCUGGAGAAGAGCCAGAAUGAAGCAAGGAGGCUACAGCUGCACGUGGAAGAGAGCCAGAGAAAAGUGGAUGAGGCCAGGGUGAACCAGGCGCUGCUGGAAUUCAAGCGAGAAGCCUCUCUUAGGGAGCUGCUGGAGCUGGAGAAGGACCUGAAUUUGCGGAGAAGACAGUGUGGUCAAUAUGUCGCCUCCCAGGCAGAGGUUUCUCAGCUGGUGAAAGAACGGGAGCAGCUGAGGAACCAAGUGCGACANCUUGAGGACACCCUAUCUUCCCUGCAGCACCAGACGAGGGCCUCUGAAAUGGACGCAGUCCCUCAGAAGGAGACAAUUGGUGUUGGGACUGAGGACUGGCAGGAGGUUGUCCAAAGCGCCCAGAAGCUGGACAAGCGGAUCCAAGGCUUGGAGCUGAGAAUCUCAACCCUCCAGAUGGUUCUNUCACAGAAGAAUGCGGAGGUGUCAAGACUUCAUGAGUCCAUCUCUGCCUUGGAGGCUGAAAAAGCAUCCUGGAAGUCCAUGGUGGAGAACCUGAGAAAGGAUCAUGAAGACCAGCUGGAGAAACUACGGGAUGAGGCCUUACAGGAGAAGGUGAAAGAGCUAACACAGCUGCGGGAAGAACUGCGGUGUGAAAAGCAGGAAGCACUACAAGAGAUUCAGACCUUGAUGCUUGAGGAGCAGAAGAAAUGGGAAGCUGAUGCCAGAGAUGCUCUCCAGAUGCAGCGGGAAGUCUUGGAGGAGCAAAAGCGGAUGGAUCUCCAGAAAGCCCUGGAGAAAGAACGGAAGGUCAGCCUUGAGUUGCUGGCUGAAAACGCCAACCUCUGCAAGAGGAUCCAGGAGCUGGAGANCAAGGCCGAGUCGUUUCAGGGUGAGAAGGUGGCAGCUAUGGAAGAACUCUGGGUUCAGCUGGAGAAAGAAAAGGCUGAAGCCCUGAGGAAGUUGCAGGAUGAACUGGAGAAGGAAUCUCAGCAGAACAUUGACUGGGCACAACAGUCCCUGGCCAAGGAGGUCAUCAUGGCUUGCCAGCAACUCCAGGACCUCCUGCCCAAGAAGGCUGGCGUGCCCACCCNUGUCUGGCUGCACAGGAACCCGGAAAUCCCAUCCACCGCUCAUGUGCUCCAAGCCUUGCAAAACGUGAGCAAGGAAAUUCGGUGCUACCUCCAGGCGUUAAAGCAGGAGACAGAACAGCAGAGGCAGAACGUCCUUCAGCUCCAGAAGGAAAAGGAGAGAGAACUGAUGGAGCAGCAAGAAGAGCUUCGCUUGGAGAACCAGGUGGCUCUUGAGGCUCUGAAGGAGCAUCUUGUACAGGAGCACAUGAAGGAUAUUGUCAACCUGCAGCGCACCUGGGUGAAAGAAACCAAAGUCUUGCACCCACGCCUUCAGGACCAGGGUGCUGCGUUGCAGCCGUUGCAAAGAAGCNUCCCCCGCCGGAGAGAAAAGGCAGCCUGCCAGCCGGCUGAAGAAUUUAAGGAGGAUUUGAAUGUGGAACUGGAGAAGUGCUUGUCCAGAAACAAACCUAUGGACAUCCCCAUGAACUUCAACAUCCCAGAAGCAGAAAUCAGACGGUUCUCCACGGGCCGGAGUGAAUAUCUCCUACCUUGCUCUACCCACUCUUCACCGAAUGCCACCAGUUUCUCCAGCCCCUCAAAGCUGCUGUCCAGCCUACAGAACCGAAUCCGAGCGGUGCGGACGGAGAAUGCCAAGUUCUGCAGGACCAACCUAGAUAGUGGCAUCACCCCACGAGAGGAUUUGGCCGACAGGUGCACAAGUAAAAGGUACUUGAGUUCAGAGCUCUCCUCGUCUCAGCCCACAGGGGAAGCAGCUGGGUGUAGAACUGCCAGGAAGGAGAAGCCACAGUGAGNAAGAAGGAGAACCUUCACCCAGGAAUGGUGCUAUGAGCAGGCUACAAUCCCAGGGAAAGGAUUACCGCACCUUGAAGAACACAGAUUUCGGUCACCUUGUUUUGUCCAUGUUUUUCCUCAGCACCUACGCGGAGAGUACGGCAUGGAUCCUAAAUGCCUUUUUCAGCUCGGUGCUCUUAACAGACCUUGAAACUUCUGGGCUGAGGUUCUCGUUGCUUCACUGUUUGUCUUUUUAAGCAACUAAAUGGUGUGGAAGCUCUUCAGCUUCCACACCUACCAAGGCCACUGUCAGUAUCACCCGUUAAGCCUCACAGCUCUGCAAAUGACCCACUCCUGGUUGACUGCAUGGGCCCCUCUAUGCAGUUUUCUUGGCAGAGAUAUAGAAGUGGUUUGCCAUUACCUAUUUCCAGGGAGAGACUAGUCCAGCAUUCUGUUUCACACGGUGGCCCAUCAAUUGCUUCUGGGCAUCUCAAGCAGAAUAAAAAGGCAAACCCUUCACCUGCA
rnacentral:lncRNA from 1 species